GUUUGUCUCUACGUGUUGGGUAAGUCAUGUGCAUGACUCCUCUCCUAGAGAAGCAGCCUUACUUAGCAGAUGUCCGGUGGGGCUCAGAAGUGCACGGGCUGUCCACUGUGGGUGGCACGUCCUUACUUAGCAGAUGUCCGGUGGGGCUCAGAAGUGCGCGGGCUGUCCACUGUGGGUGGCACGUGCCCUCCCGUUAGGCAGCGUCCGCUGCUCUGCUCACUGGUGGGCUGGUACCUGAAAUGGUGGAGCCUGGCCACAAUGACUGUUGUUUGUAGAACUUGAAGCAGAUCUGCUCGACUCUGCAUCCGGCUCCCUCCUCUGCAGUGCAGUGCAUCUCGUUCAAGAGUCCUAACACAUACAUGAAUGCCUCCUUUAUGGAUGAACACCGACUAUAUCUAAAUGAUAAUAAAUGUCUGCUGUUGACAGAACAAGUGUGGAAAGGUGAAUAGCAGGUUGAGCUCUGCGUGUUUGUGAGAUAAACAACUGUCAGCCUCUCCAGAGAGUGCUAUGAGCUUGUGAGGCCAAAGUUGCCUUUUUAAAUAAUGGUGACAAUA